rnacentral:rRNA from 1 species
GACGAACGCUGGCGGCGUGCUUAACACAUGCAAGUCGAACGCUGAAGCUCAGCUUUUGUUGGGUGGAUGAGUGGCGAACGGGUGAGUAACACGUGAGUAACCUGCCUCCUUCUUUGGGAUAACGCCCGGAAACGGGUGCUAAUACUGGAUAUUCACUGGUCUUCGCAUGGGGGUUGGUGGAAAGGGUUUUUCUGGUGGGGGAUGGGCUCGCGGCCUAUCAGCUUGUUGGUGGGGUGAUGGCCUACCAAGGCUUUGACGGGUAGCCGGCCUGAGAGGGUGACCGGUAACAUUGGGACUGAGAUACGGCCCAGACUCGUACGGGAGGCAGCAGUGGGGAAUAUUGCACAAUGGGCGAAAGCCUGAUGCAGCGACGCCGCGUGAGGGAUGGAGGCCUUCGGGUUGUGAACCUCUUUCGCUAAUGGUCAAGCCGCAACAAUGGUUGUGGUGAGGGUAGUGGGUAAAGAAGCGCCGGCUAACUACGUG